rnacentral:SRP_RNA from 2 species
CUGCGAGCUAGACCGGGAGGACAGCCGUCUCUUGUAACCAUAAACCGGCUUCAUGAUGGGGUCGAAGCCUUGGGAAAGGUAAAGGCUGUCGUGGCAGUCUUGGCAAGUACUAUGAGACUUUGUCCCACAGGAUUUUUGCUCGCGGGAAACGUGUCAGGCCAGGAAUGGAGCAGCACUAACUGCAUGCAGGAAUGCUUGAGGGGUAGCGGAGUUGAGGAGGUGUCAGGGUUAACUGGCGCGGUGGUUAUUUAUCGAUUCCUCGGCGCGCUCGCGC